GAUGAACGCUGGCGGCGUGCCUAAUACAUGCAAGUCGAGCGCGAGAUUGAGGAGCUUGCUCCUCAUGAUCGAGCGGCGGACGGGUGAGUAACACAUAGGCAACCUACCCUUGAGAUUGGGAUAACUACCGGAAACGGUAGCUAAUACCGGAUACGACUUUCCUGCAUAAGCAGUUAAGUUAAAAGGCGGAUUUAUCUGCCGCUCAUGGAUGGGCCUGCGGUGCAUUAGCUAGUUGGUGAGAUAGUGGCUCACCAAGGCGACGAUGCAUAGCCGACCUGGGAGGGUGAUCGGCCACACUGGGACUGAGACACGGCCCAGACUCCUACGGGAGGCAGCAGUAGGGAAUCUUCCGCAAUGGACGCAAGUCUGACGGAGCAACGCCGCGUGAGUGAUGAAGGGUUUCGGCUCGUAAAACUCUGUUGUUAAGGAAGAACACUUGAGGUAGUAACUGGCCUUGAGAUGACGGUACUUAACCAGAAAGCCACGGCUAACUACGUGCCAGCAGCCGCCGUAA
rnacentral:rRNA from 1 species